rnacentral:misc_RNA from 2 species
UAAUCUCACCAUCCAACUCUUUGUUGGCAUGUUGUGGAUUUGGAUGUUGCCGUGUUGCAAUGGCUCAUCUGAAAUGCCUGAGUACAUCCUGGAUUGUGAUGUGUUCGGUGUGAUAAACUUUCACCGUCAUUGACCCAGUGGUCACACUCACUCUUACCAAGGCUCUGUGCUUCCAAUCGUCUUAAUCAGACAAUUUUGACA